rnacentral:rRNA from 1 species
UGGGGAAUAUUGGACAAUGGGCGCAAGCCUGAUCCAGCCAUGCCGCGUGUAUGAAGAAGGCCUUCGGGUUGUAAAGUACUUUCAGCGAGGAGGAAGGCGUUGUGGUUAAUAACCGCAACGAUUGACGUUACUCGCAGAAGAAGCACCGGCUAACUCCGUGCCAGCAGCCGCGGUAAUACGGAGGGUGCAAGCGUUAAUCGGAAUUACUGGGCGUAAAGCGCACGCAGGCGGUCUGUCAAGUCGGAUGUGAAAUCCCCGGGCUCAACCUGGGAACUGCAUCCGAAACUGGCAGGCUAGAGUCUUGUAGAGGGGGGUAGAAUUCCAGGUGUAGCGGUGAAAUGCGUAGAGAUCUGGAGGAAUACCGGUGGCGAAGGCGGCCCCCUGGACAAAGACUGACGCUCAGGUGCGAAAGCGUGGGGAGCAAACA